CACAGUUGGUUGCAGAACAAGUUCUCAAUUAUAAACCAUGUCACAAACAAGCAUAAUGCACAAUCAUUAUUAGAAUAUAUCCCUUCUAGUGUCAACCCAUUAAAGGCUUCAUUUGUUAUAUCUGAUCCAGUAAAAGAGCAGACAAGAUCCAGUGGCUAUCAAUUAACUGGUCCUACAACACCACCCUUCAGCAUUAAGAGACCAGCUCUACCCUUGAAGGUGCACUCUAAUUUGAGUCUUUGACCACAGCAACCAGUUUGGUGGACCAAGAUAAACAAAAUAGAUAAAUAUAGAGAGUUAUAAAGACAGAGACAAGACUGCACAUAAUUGAUACAAACACAAGACAAAGAAAUGAACAACUUCAGAUGAGGAAGACCAACAACAGAUAAAAUGCUUAAAGCUUCAGAACCAGAUAGAAUGGUUGAUUUGCCACCAAAAAAGAAAAAAUGUUAGCCUGACCAGUUGUUGUAACUCACUCAAUUCCAUUUCUUCUCCAACUCAGGAUCAGUCCAUUGUAAAAUACAAUAGGAGCAAAAUCUAUCGAAACUCUUGAAGUACAAAAUGUAAAAUAUGAAGGUGAAAGGCAUAGUGAUGCAAAAAGCUGGUGAACAGAAGGAUUCAUGAACCUAUCAACUCUUUCUCAUUACAAACUAAUAAUGGGCCACAUGACAAGAAAACUGCAAGCCUCAAAUGGAGAGGAAAACUUUGGUCAUGUAUCGAAGUCUUUGAAAUGGAUAAGCCAAGCCCAUUCCGUGGGGCAAUUUAGCUUGUUAGGAAAAGAGAUGAGCUCGAAGAAACCAUUGUCGCCGUCAUCCCACUAAUGAGCGUCCUACAGUCAGAAUAAGGACACAAGGCAUCCGAAACAUUGUAGUACAAUGGAUGAAUGGAAAUGCUCGACUGCGGAUCGAGCAUCCUUACCGCGAGUAUCUCUACUAAAGCUUAAUCUUGCAAGAAUUCGACCUAAUACUACAUUCCAUCUGAUGUGAAUCUAUGUCAAGGUCUGAUCUCAACUCACGCAUCAUUCGCAUUAGCUACCGUUCAAUCAGAUCACAUCACAAGUUGGAUCGUUUCUAGGCAUCUAAGUAAGAAGAUCUGCUAACCACUGGAUGCAUCGGAGAGGAAGGAUGGAUGAAAUUACCUGCGAGGCCGGCCGGCGAUAAUGGCGAAUCCGAUGAGGAAGGGCUAGUUGCGGUCUCACCCCCGCCUCAAGAACACCGGCCACCGAUCGGACUUCCUCGUCGCUCUCCCCUCCGCCCGUGGCUAUUUGCC
rnacentral:lncRNA from 1 species